CCUUGCAGCAUGGUGACUAGGUUCUAAAAGUAAGCAUGCCCAAAGGGAAAGCCUAGGUGGAAGCCAUAUUGCCUUUAUGACUUAGCCUUAGAUGUCAUUCAAUGUCACUCAUGAUAUGCAUUCUAUUUACUGAGGCUGUCAUAAAGCCCUGCCCAGCUUCAUCAGAGGGAGAGAUAGACUGCCUUUUGAGCAGGGCUAGCAAGUUUAUAGAAGGACAUGUAGGAAUGAAAAUAUCGUGGUAGUUCAUGUGGAAAACGUGGUCUGCCACAGGUGCUAAGGCAGCCAUGCGGGGUGCCGCCACAUGGGUUAUAUGCAUGAAGAAGAGUCAAAGAUGGCUUUAGAGGGAAAGGGGCUAUUGAAUAGAGCAGAUAAACCAGGGAGUGAAGAAAACACCAUUUGGCCAGAGAGUCAGGGUGUUGCAGGUUGGGUUCUCUAAAGGAGACCCUCAGAGUUUGGAGUACAAGGUGUUUAUGAAGGAAUAGCAUCUGUGAAAGGGAGAGGAAGCAAGGUGAAAAGAAGCUGACCUGCGAUAGAGGUCCAACCAAGCUUUAGCCAACACAAUGGGUCCUGUGUUUACCUCUCAGUGUUGUCCCUUGUCAGUCUGAGUGACUGGGCCUUUAUGUGCUGCCUAGUUUACUCAUGGACUGUGGACCACUCCAGCAAGGCCAGGACCUUGGAGGGGGCUGACCUCUAUAGUUAUGGCAGGCCCUCUGAGGAGUGGUGAGCUGGAAGCUGCCUGCUGACGGAAUUCUCCUAGGGCCAGCUCUGUAGAAAGUGGAACACAGCUCACUUGUUGAGAGCUUCUUAUCAGAUACAGACCCAGACAGACACAGUCUGGCUUAGCUGUUCAUGUGAUUUAUUCACCCUGUUCUGAAAAAAGCACCAGGUGAUAUCUGAGCUAUGGCAGCAGCCAGCUGGCUCCCAACACAUUCCAGGUAUAAAAAUAGUUCAUAAGCAGCACCGAGUUCCAAUAAUUCUGACUUCAGUCUCUAGAAACUCCAAAAUGGCCUGGAAAAUGCUGGCAAACCCAGUUUCUGCCAUGAGCCUCCAGGGUCUCUCUUUGCAAGGUACAGCAGUGCUACUGGAAGCAGAUCGCUGAGUGCACAAAGGACACAAAUACUAGGCAAUUCUGGCCAUCAGACUCUUGCUCUUCUCCCAAAAGUCAGAGUAGCAUAAAUUUGGAUGACACACAAUAUUGGGGUUGCACAAACCAGGAUUUAAUUUCUGUAUCUGCUGUGUACUGACCAUUAAACUUAGCCUUACUUAGUAGGUUUCCCUGCCCUAAAAGUAUAUCCAAAAUCUAUCUUACAGGCUUAGUGUGAACCCUGAAAAGAUAAUAUAAAGCAUUUAAGCACAAUGCCAGGCAUGUCCUUAAUGAAUAUUAUCAGCAUCAAAGAAAAACAAACUCUCCAUUAUCAAGCCUCUGCUCUGUUCCAGGAACUGUGAUAACAUAACAGAACUAUCAACGUGUGCUUCUGACCUCAAGGAAUUUUGGUAUAGUAGGAAAAAAAAAAAAGUACUGUUCUAAUAUAAUAUAAACUUUCAUACUGCAGCUAAAUGCCCUUGGACAAGUAAUUUCACUUUGUGGGUCUCCAUGUCCUAUAAAGUGGAGAGAAUUCUGCUCAAUUUACAGACUCAUGUUGAUGACUGGAGAUGAUGAUGUAUGAUAAGGUGUCCAGCACGUAGUAAGAGAUACACUAUGACCUCCAUUCUGGACUACUGGCCUUCACCAUUCUGUGGGCUGCUGCUCACCAAAGAUGAUGGCCAAGCACUUCAUUUGAAGCCUCGGGAAUUUGCUAGCCUCUUCAGCCAUUUGGCCUGCUUCAAACUUUAUGGGACAUAUUAAGUCAGACGUUCAAAACACUAGAGGCCCACGAGCCAGGAAACUCCAGGCUCAGGACGGUGCUUUGCCACUGCGAGUUUCACCAUUCUAGUGUCCCCAUUUUUUGGGGAGCGGGGAGGGACAAGGAGAUUUGGAGCUAGGCAGCUGGCGCUUAUGGUAUGGACUCUGCUCUUCGUGUGUGAAAUCUAACAGACGUGCCUCAGUUGGAGGCCUCCGUUUCACUUGUGCCAAGGGUCUAGGCUCUACCUCCUUCAUAGAGCAUUGUGCCAUUCAAUGAGGUAGUGUAUGUACAGAUUUAAUCCCGUGUCUAGCUCAGGGAUUCAUAAGUGUUUGCUGUUAAGUAUUUUUAUAACUCAACACAUAGGCAGCACAUAUUCAAGAUGGAGCUGAGUUGAAGAAAUUAGCGUUCAGUGAAUUUACUCUGUUGUUUUCUAUUUGCACUCUGACUGCCUGACACACGGGAAGUGCUCCAUGCCUGUUGGUCCUGUGGCCUUCCAGACAAAUGUCACUUUCAAUCCAGGAGACAUUCAUCAGGGACCUCACGGUAGCAGAGCCAGAAACUGAACCUCAGCGUGCCUGACUCCAGAAUCUACACUCUUCCUACUACACCAGGAGAAGUCACUGUCACUCUUCUACACAAGUGCAGAAGCCACGGAGGUGGGCCAGCCAGUUGUCCAAGCGUCCAUAUCCCUCUCUCCUUGUUCUUGCUUGAAACUUGAUUUUGGAACUGCGGUCUCCCAUGACAGAUGUCACUAAUCGAUUAUGAGCCUCUUUCAGGCUGAACC